GGUGAACGCUGGCGGCGUGCCUAAUACAUGCAAGUCGAGCGAACAGACGAGGAGCUUGCUCCUCUGACGUUAGCGGCGGACGGGUGAGUAACACGUGGAUAACCUACCUCUAUUACUGGGAGAACUUCGGGAAACCGGAGCUAAUACCGGAUAAUAUAUUGAACCGCAUGGUGCAAUAGUGAAUGACGGUUUUGCUGUUACUUAUAGAUGGAUCCGCGUCGCAUUAGCUAGUUGGUAAGGUAACGGCUUACCAAGGCAACGAUGCGUAGCUGACCUGAGAGGGUGAUCAGCCACACUGGAACUGAGACACGGUCCAGACUCCUACGGGAGGCAGCAGUAGGGAAUCUUGCGCAAUGGGCGCAAGCUUGACCCAGCAACGCCGCGUGAGUGAUGAAGGUCUUCGGAUCGUAAAACUCUGUUAUUAGGGAAGAACAGAUGUGGAAUUAACCAUGCACGUCCUGACGGUACCUAAACAGAAAGCCCCGGCUAACUUCGUG
rnacentral:rRNA from 1 species